AUGACGUGCCAGGAUGGCGCCUUCACGGCGGAGUGCGACCAUGCCUUCCACCCUCGCUGCGCCUCCGGCGUCCCCGCGUGCCCCUCCUGCUACGCGAAGUGGCGCGCCACGCCCACCUUCACGCCGCGCCCGCUCUCCUACUCUCCCCUGCAGCCGCAGCCCGGCCGGAUGCCGCUGCCUUUCCACGGCGCCCGGUCGUGGUCCACGUGCGCCGUCUGCAAGGGCGCCGUCGGCGGCGCGUUCGCCGGCGCCACCUUCACCUCUGAGUGCGAGCACACGUUCCACCUCUCGUGCGUCAUGGGGAGCGUCUGCCCGGUCUGCAACACGCACUGGCCUUACCAGGUCUCUUCGUACCCCACUUUCCACCACUACGCUCCGCCGCCGCGGCCGGCGCUGUUCCCUCCCUUCAUGCACCAGCCAUCGCCCAUGUAUCUCCCUGACCGCGCCGUGUACGACGACGACGAGCCGGUGGAGCCUCCCGCGCAGGGGGCGCCGCUGGGUGACUGGGAUCUCGUCCAGGACGCGGCCAACGGCGGAGGCAAACUCGUACUCGACGCCCACUGUGAGUACCCGGCCGUCGCCAGGGGCAAGCCGCAUGAUAACUUCGUGGUGCUGGUCCACGCCAAGGCCCCUGGCGCCGUCACCGCAGCGGCGGCGCAGACACGCGCGCCUCUCGACCUGGUAACCGUGCUCGACGUCAGCGGCAGCAUGGCGGGCCACAAGAUCGCACUGCUGAAGAAGGCUAUGGAGUUCGUCGUCGACCAGCUCGGCCCUGCUGACCGCCUCAGCGUCGUGGCAUUCUCGACGGCCGCGCAUCGGGUCUGA
rnacentral:rRNA from 1 species